GACAGAGGGUGCAAACGUUGCUCGGAAUCACUGGGCGUAAAGGGCGUGUAGGCGGGAAGGAUAGUCAGAUGUGAAAGCCCCGGGCUCAACCUGGGAACUGCAUUUGAGACUGCUCUGCUCGGGUGCGGAAGAGGGAAGCGGAAUUUCCGGUGUAGCGGUGAAAUGCGUAGAUAUCGGAAGGAACACCAGUGGCGAAAGCGGCUUCCUGGUCCGACACCGACGUUCAGGCACGAAAGCGUGGGGAGCAAACAGG
rnacentral:rRNA from 1 species